CCAGGAUUCCCCUAGUAACGGCGAGUGAACGGGGAAUAGCCCAAUACCGAAUCCCUCAGCCCAGGCUGAUGGGAACUGUGGUCUUAAGGUUAUCCUUCGUGCUAAGCUAGUUGUCUCAAGUCCACCUGAUUGUGGCUCAAGCCCAGAGAGGGUGUAAGGCCCGUAGAGACAAUUGGAUUAGUACCCGGGGUAAACCUACGAGUCGGCUUGUUUGGGAAUGCAGGCUAAAGCGGGUGGUAAACUCCAUCCAAGGCUAAAUACUUGCACUAGUCCGAUAGAGUACAAGUACCGUGAGGGAAAGUUGAAAAGAACUUUGAAGAGAGAGUUCAAUAGUACGUGAAACCGCUUAGAGGCAAACGGAUGGUGCUCAAAUUGGCUCGGGGAAUUCAGCCGCUGUAGUUUGUUAGAUGAGUUGGCGUUUUUUAAUUACAGAUCUCACUCUUGGGACUGGCGUCAGCUUAUAUAGCUAGCUUCUACGCGGUGCACUUUCCUCGGUUAGCCUUCGCCACGACCAACGACACUGGCCACCCGCGGCUGGGGUAAGGUGGCAAGCUACCUCGGUAGCUUGUUUUAUAGACCCUGGCGUCGGUCUUUGUUUGGGCAGUACGUUGGAGUUCUAGCGGUGCCCGCUCCUAGUGGGCUCGUACGCCAAUUAGCUUGGUUGUGUCGAUGUUUACACUGGUAACCAGUGUAUGCGACGAUUAUGAUCUAGUUUUCUAGUUGGUCUCUACGAGUUUGGCACCUAUAGUCAGUGGUGUACUUGUGGGUAGACUAUCCGACCCGUCUUGAAACACGGACCAAGGAGUCUAACAUGUGCGCGAGUCAUGGGGAUUCUACGAAACCCAAAGGCGAAGUGAAAGUAAAGGCUGGCAUCUAGUUAGCUGAGGUGGGAUCUUGUGCAUUACGAUUGGCUAGCGCACCACCGGCCCGUCCUAUCUGUCUAUGUCAGUGGGGCGGAGCAAGAGCGUACACGUUGGGACCCGAAAGAUGGUGAACUAUGCUUGCGCAGCUCGAAGUCAGUGGAAACACUGAUGGAGGAGCGCAGCGUUUCUGACGUGCAAAUCGAUCGUCAAACGUGAGUAUAGGGGCGAAAGACUAAUC
rnacentral:rRNA from 1 species